rnacentral:rRNA from 1 species
GAUGAACGCUGGCGGCGUGCCUAAUACAUGCAAGUAGAACGCUGAAGCUUGGUGCUUGCACCGAGCGGAUGAGUUGCGAACGGGUGAGUAACGCGUAGGUAACCUGCCUCUUAGCGGGGGAUAACUAUUGGAAACGAUAGCUAAUACCGCAUAAAAGUCGCUAUCGCAUGAUCUUGAUUUGAAAGGUGCAAAUGCAUCACUAAGAGAUGGACCUGCGUUGUAUUAGCUAGUUGGUGAGGUAACGGCUCACCAAGGCGACGAUACAUAGCCGACCUGAGAGGGUGAUCGGCCACGCUGGGACUGGGACACGGCCCAGACUCCUACGGGAGGCAGCAGUAGGGAAUCUUCGGCAAUCGGGGCAACCCUGACCGAGCAACGCCGCGUGAGGGAAGAAGGUUGUCGGAUCGUAAAGCUCGGUUGUAAGAGAAGAACGAGCGUGAGAGUGGAAAGUUCACACUGUGACGGUAACUUACCAGAAAGGGACGGCUAACUACGUG